AUAACUAAACACUACUACCUAAAACUUUGUACCCCAAAGAAAUGUCUCACGUGCACCGUGUCCAAUCCCACGGGACACAUUUGGAUUCAUAUAGUUUGUAUAUAGUGUAUCAAUAUUAAAGUGAUUAGUUCGGAAAUCGGGUAUGACUGUAUACGCGGCAUUUUCAGUUCCGUUUUUUAUUUUGUCCAUUUAUUUGAACCAUUCCACUCCGUCACGCGAUUUAGACGCUUUUAAUCAAUCGCGUUUUGCUUCCGCUCCGACAUUUUUCUGCUUCAAUCUGUAAGAAUGUCUCGCUGAUUGGUUCAUGUUGGGAUGAAAUAGAACUGAGUGGAUUUGCAGUCGGUAAUUUCAUGAUGACGGAUCCUGCGCAGAAGCUGUAUGCCAAAAUGCGGCUGUGGGAAUUCCCGGAUCAGUACGUGGUGGAGCCGACUGACGGAUCCUCCGCCUCCUUGCUCGCUGUUAGCCGCCUUGAUGGCUCCAUGAAUCUUGUUGGAGAAAUACCACAAUGCAGCAAGCUUCGAGUUCCUAAAAUUCAGACGAUCUAUGGUGUGGUCGGUUACUAGUGAAUUCAUGGAGAUGAGGGGCGCUUGUCUGAAAAGUUUUGCCAGGCAGUGGAACCUAUUGUUAGUGAUGAUAUAAGGUACUUUUUGUUAAAUGAGAAGAGAGAAAAAGUUGAAAAUCAAGGAGUUGUGAGGACCAAUUGCAUAGACUGCUUGGAUGGUACAAAUGUCACUCAGUGUGGGCGUUCCAUGGGGAUGAUGUAAGCAUCCAGUAUUCUGGUACUCCUGCUUUGAAGGGGGAUUUUGUCAGAUGUGGCAAGAGAACUAUUCAAGGUAUUCUGAAUGAUGGCUUUAAUGCUGUCAUGCGAUACUUUUUGAACAACUUCGUUGAUGGUACAAAGCAGGAUGUUGUUGAUUUAGUACAAGGACAUUAUAUUGUUUCUGUUAUUCGAAGCAUGACUCCUUCAGCACAGAAAGGCGGUAUUGAGGCAGUGGCAGUAAUCCAUAAUCCUUUCCAUUGGCUUUAGGAGUGAUUCUGAUUGGCUUGUUCUUCACGUUGUUGUCACUUAGACGAGUUCGACACGAUCUAUGGAAUUUACUGUUUACCUUCAUGUGGGCAAGCAUGAGUUUGACAAUAGCGGUAUUUCUAAAGGCCUACGGCCGCAUCUUCUGCAACCGCCCUCGUCUGCACCAACCUAGACGUUGAGUCUGGGGUUUUAGCUAAAUUAGCCAUACUGCUACUGCUGUUAAUUUAUGACCUACAUGUAUGCUUUCAUUGUGGCACAUUUUAUUUAGCUGAUCAAUAUACAUAUAAUUAACCUGUA